CCAAAUAACAAAACCUAUCCAUUUAUUCUCAUUUCUUCCUAGUCUUCAGCACCCUUUCGUCUACUCCUUCACCCUAACUUCGACGACCGACUAUUUGGUGGUUGCCAACGACGACGACUACCACCUCUCCUUUGUCUCACUCCCUCAGCCAUUCUCCCACCCUUUGAUUCUCAUUCACUCUCUUAUCUAUUUGACAUAACAAAAUCAAAUUGGGGAAAGAGAAGUUCUAUUUUUUUCUCAAGUUCUUUCAGUUGACAACAAGCGGCGGUGGCAAAUGGGGGAAGGGGGAAAUACAGUUGGUGAUUCUCCAGUCGAAACAUCAUUGGAGAGGGUAGAGGCCUUGCUGGAGCUACCCAACUCCCCUUUCCAAAGUGUUCUGAUUGUGCACUAAGAUGUUUAUUAGAGAUAUAGAUCCUUCUUUUACGAUAGAAAUUUGUAGUUUGAGAUGGUUUUCUAUGUGUGGCAGGCUGCUAGGUACGAUGACAUCUAUGAUCUUAAAAGCUUAGAAUCUGCUGGUCUUUCUCUUGAUUCUAAGGAUCUCCACGGCCGAACAGGUUAUUCAUAUUUUCGUUCUACCACAUUUAUCAUUCUAUUGUUGGUUUAAGGAAUUAGUUUGCGCUAGGAUUAACAGAUUCAACAUGCGAUGACACUUUGUGGAUUCAUCUAGUUCUUUUAACGAGCAUGCAUUUUUUACUUUUCUUUUGUUUGUUUGCUUUCCUGGGAAUAAUCACUUGUAUCCCAUGUAAUAAUGUUGGAACUUGGACUGGAUCAAAUCACCCAUCCAGAGGCCUUGCUUUCGCACGACUAGCUGUGGAUAAUGGCCCUUUCUUUCUUCCUUUCUUAAUUCUUGUACUAGUUGGUCUCCAUAAGGUUGAUACUGUAACGAACAGAGCAAUGAUUUGCCAUCAGGAGUGCUUUAGGAAAAUCUGAAAAAUAUUUCUGUGGUUAAGAAUUUUGAGAUUCAGCGGGUAAGGUCACUUUUAUAUACCCUCGGAGUCAGAGGUUUGAUAAAAUUGAUAACAAUCUGUAAAUUUUGUGAAGAAGGUAGAGAAGUUGAAGAGAUGCAGGAGUGGUAUUGGAAGAAUAGGGAUCUCUAAACCUAAUUUAUCCUGGAAGUAAAGAAUUAGGUUUUCCAUUUCAUCAGAAAGUAGUUAGGUGUUAGGAUGUUUGAGGACAUGAGGGUUGAAGAGGUGGAUUAUUUGAUAGUCUUGUUUUUAUUGUAUAAUCUGUUUAUAUAGAUUAAGUCUUGUUUUCAAAGAAAGGGGACGAUCCCUCUACUCUUUCUUAACUGUGGAUGAAUCAGUAACACCUCCUGAACAGUAGAUUCCAAAGUCCACGGACAGCACAAAAAGCUACAAUUUUAAGUCAUCUUUUUGGUGCAAUGUUGCAUUAGUUAUGGGAUGUGUCCUUCCCUCCUCCUUAUUCUGUGGACUCCGCUUUGAGAAGAUUAUCAGCAUGGGGUAGCAGAGGAUAUCUUCCUGUUGCAGUUGAAGUUACCAAAACGCUUGUCGAAAUUCAGCAAAAAGAUCCUCAGUUUAGAAAGGAGCAGUCAAUGAUUUGAUAAUUGUAAAACGAAUCAAUCAAGUGCUGCUUUGCUUUCAGAGGAAAUGUUGGCCAUGUUAUAUUGUAUGGCAAUCACAAGAAGUUGUUUCUGUACUGUUGGAGUUCUUGUUGAAGGCCUAUGAAUCCUCAGAAUCCUUGGAAGCAGAGUUACUUCUGUCUCUUCUGAAGACUGAUGUAUGAGACGGGAGGGUUUCACACAUCACCAGACCAUAGGGCAGAGGUUGAACACCUCUCCUCUCUCUUCACAUGGCUCGUGGAAUUAGAACCUCGUCAUGAAAAAGAUUCUUCAGCAGAAAAAACCAUCUCCAAAGCAAUUCUGGUUGAGCUCCCAUGUAAAUGGCUUAUUGUAUCAGCUUUUGCUAAUAACAGGCUCAUGGAUUCUCUCCUCCAUCUUGCACAGCUGACAGAGGACUGCUUUUUAGUUUUAUCACAUUCGGAUACUGCAGAAGAUGUUCUUCUAGUGUUCUUAUAAAUACAAAUUAUCUACAUUUAAAGCAAGAUGAAUCAUCAGUCAAGCGGCAAAGAAGCUAGAACUGAUUAAUGUCGCAAAAUGAAGAGCAAAGAAUUGAAGAAGACAGAUGCUGAUGUCGGAAAUACAAACAAAUGGGUUCUGCCCAAAUGAGGGAACCCACGUCCGAUUGGAAUGUUGCCUCGAGCUAUUGGGUUUUCUGGCUGCCUUCCUCUUCUGGAUGUCAAUAAUGUCCCAGAAAAGGUUCCUGGAUUACUAGGAAGAAAAGAGAAGUGGAAACUGAAACAAUGUAGUGCCAUGAGACCUGUAAAACUCAAUUUUGGUCAAAAUAAUAUGUCCAAGCAGUCGAGAGUAAGUUGGUAAUGUUUCUUACAUUACAUUUCAAUACACCGAAACAUGUUAGAACUUUCUCACCUUUCGAUGUAGCACUUCAUUCCGUUAUCAAUGUCCAUUCAAAUCUACAGCAGUGCAAUGAUAUGAUAGAGAAGGUACCGCAGGGGCAACUUGAGAACACAUGAAGUGCAAUACACAAGCGUGUGAUCUCAGGUUACUCAUGGAACCUCUCUACCGCUUUCGCUUAUCUCUGUACAACUUCCCUGCCUUAGAGUGGUCACAUAUAGCACAACUUAGGACUUAGUUGUGUACUAUUUUCACUCCAUUGUACUACAUGGUUCUUUCUGGUACAAAUCUUCUUGUUUGACCAUAUACACGUUUAUUUAUUAUUUAUUGGAUUUAAAUGUACUAGAAUGUUAAUGUGGUACAGUUUGAUUAUUCGAAAUUGCUUCGUACAAA